ACGCCCGCUCAGAAACUUAAAGGAAGUUGACGGGGCCCGGCACAAGCGGUGGAGCAUGUGGUUCAAUUCGACGCAACGCGAAGAACCUUACCUGGGCUAGACAACAGUGGACCGUCCUAGAGAUAGGAUUUCCCUUCGGGGACCGCUGGUUCAGGUGCUGCAUGGCUGUCGUCAGCUCGUGCCGUGAGGUGUUGGGUUAAGUCCCGCAACGAGCGCAACCCUCGUACUUAGUUGCCACCAUUCAGUUGGGCACUCUAGGUAGACUGCCGGCGUUAAGCCGGAGGAAGGUGGGGACGACGUCAAGUCAUCAUGGCCCUUAUGCCCAGGGCCACACACGUGCUACAAUGGGCGGCACAAAGGGUCGCGAACCCGCGAGGGGGAGCCAAUCCCAAAAAGCCGUUCUCAGUUCGGAUUGGAGUCUGCAACUCGACUCCAUGAAGUUGGAAUCGCUAGUAAUCGCGGAUCAGCACGCCGCGGUGAAUACGUUCCCGGGCCUU
rnacentral:rRNA from 1 species